rnacentral:rRNA from 1 species
GACGAACGCUGGCGGCGCGCUUAACACAUGCAAGUCGAACGGGAAUUCAGCAAUGAGUUCUAGUGGCGAACGGGUGAGUAACACGUGGACAACCUACCUUCAAGAUGGGGACAACAUUCCGAAAGGGAUGCUAAUACCGAAUAAAGCUGCUGAUUCGCAUGAAUCGGUAGUGAAAGGCGGCCUUUAUUUAUAAGCUGUCACUUGAAGAAGGGUCCGCGCCGGAUUAGCGAGUUGGAGGGGUAACGGCCCACCAAGGCAACGAUCAGUAGCCGGGCUGAGAGGACGAACGGCCACACUGGGACUGAGACACGGCCCAGACUCCUACGGGAGGCAGCAGUGGGGAAUCUUCCGCAAUGGACGAAAGUCUGACGGAGCGACGCCGCGUGGGUGAAGAAGGCCUUAGGGUCGUAAAGCCCUGUCAUUAGGGACGAAUGGCAACAGGACGAAUAAGCCUGUUGUUUGACGGUACCUAAGGAGGAAGCCCCGGCUAACUACGUGCCAGCAGCCGCGGUAA